UCUCUUCCAAAAUAAGGCUGUUCCUCUCCAUUCUCAGUGUAGAUAUUGACAUGCUAUGCAGCAUGCUAUUCUAAUGUAGGCCUCAUGCUGACAGAGGUUGUGCUCUAUAAUUUGAAGUGGUAUAAUAUGUAGUUUCUGCACUUCGACCCAGCUCUUUAUGAAUGAUCAAAACAACUCUGUUAUUUUACAAAUUUCAAUCAGGCCAGAGCUUAAAAGAAUUAGAUCAACAGAAGGGUUUUUAAGCAAUAUUCUUACAUUCUUUCACUGAAUGCAAAGGGUGAAAUCAAAUACGAUCUGAAAUCAAAUCACAGCACAGUUCCAAAAACCUAUGAGCCAUAAUGCAUAAUUAUGUUGCUGCUAACAUUUACAUUUGUAUUUAUUUGGAUAAAAAGUAAAUGUUCUGAACUUUAUGCUCAGCAGGUAGCAAUAAUGGAAUGGAUCAAAAAGGUCACCGAGGAAACUCAUCCAAGCUUGGAGAAAAGACAAUAAAAACAAAGAAGACUUUCGGGACCCGGUGAUCAAUUUGACUCUAAGAGGCAUACAAUGAAGCAAUAAAAUAUUGUAAUAAUAACCAACAGAACUCAAAUACUGUACAGGAAUAUUAUAAAAACAUGACAAUUAUUCUGUCUCAAAUGCUGUUCAAAAUUAUUUUGGAACCAACUGCUAUGAAAUAAAGCCAGCAAAGUCCACGGUUUUUGUUAUCAACAUUACUUCUGUCUCAUCUGGUUUUAAUUUGAGCUUGUUCUCUCUCAUCCAGCCCAUUACUGACAUUAAGCAAUAUUCAAGGGUUCUAGUUAUUUAGACAGCUAAAUCAUAAACAUUCUGUGACUUUGGGCUCACUUUCUCUUAAUUUAAUAUCAUAAACAUGUUAUGAGACUAAAAGGAAGGAAAUCACACAUGCCAGCUUGAAGAUAAGCAGCCAAUAAUAAACAAAUUGUAAGGGAGAGGUCAGAAGACUAUGUAUGACAGAAUGUUUUCAUGUUUUAAAACAAUCUUUAAAAGAUACCAGUUUUCCUUAGUUCUCGAUUAUGAGUAUCAACUUUGGGGGAAAUGUUGGCAUAAGGGAGCAAGACACAGCCUUUAAAAAUGUACCAGGCCUAGCUUGCUUAUAAUUAUUUUCACUUCCUAUGAAUAUUCUUAUAAAAGACCAAAUGUCAAAAUGAGGAUUAAAAGCAUUAAGCCACAUGUCAUAUAUGAAUCACAAAUUGCAAUUUGCCACUGAAAUUGCUAAACAUGUUUUUCUACCACAUCUGUACUGCUGAAAUAAUUUCCUAACAGUUUUAAUCAAGAAACCAUAUAAAAUAGGUUCACGUAAUUUUAAAAAGUAAAUACUGCCUAAUCCUGAUUUAGUUGGACAUAAAUACAUUUUGGCAUUGUUUCUUUUUCAAAAAGAAUAAAUUAAAUAUUGACUAAUCAUCUUAUUGUUUAUCUUAGUUUAUUCCAAAUAAAUCAAGAAUA